GGGCUCCGCUGACGUUCCAGUGCGUGGGCGUGCCGCCAUCACCUCACUGUUGACGUUAUUUGUCAUUGUGAUCUCAUUGAUGGUCCGUGCCAGCCACGAGCAAGAACGGCUGAGGUGGUGCGGUAAACGACUCAAUCCGAGAGACUUCGCUCGUGCCAUGCGGGCAGCGACUGAUUUGAUGCUGGCGUGCAAGAAUCAAAUCAUGUUGGUGAACAUCAGUCCCCUGGUCAUCAAGAGCUGCGCCUUGAAGAAACUACCCCGUGAAGAAAAAUACACUUUGGCAAUUUUGGCAUAUUUUGCGGACUUCAUUUCUGGAUAGAAUGAGGUCUCUUGCAAAAGAAUAAAUA